UAGUGGUCCAAGGCAGAAGGGAUGGU
rnacentral:piRNA from 1 species